UACGUAGGGUGCAAGCGUUUAAUCGGAAUUACUGGGCGUAAAGCGUGCGCAGGCGGUUUUGUAAGUCAGAUGUGAAAUCCCCGGGCUUAACCUGGGAACUGCGUUUAAACUACAAGGCUAGAGUGUGGCAGAGGGGGGUGGAAUUCCACGUGUAGCAGUGAAAUGCGUAGAGAUGUGGAGGAACACCGAUGGCGAAGGCAGCCCCUGGGUCAAGAUUGACGCUCAUGCACGAAAAGCGUGGGGGAGCAA
rnacentral:rRNA from 1 species